GGCUCGUUGGUCUAGGAGUAUGAUUCUCGCUUAGGGUGCGAGAGGUCCAGGGUUCAAAUCCCGGACGAGCCC
rnacentral:tRNA from 1 species